CCUACGGGAGGCAGCAGUGAGGAAUAUUGGUCAAUGGGCGCGAGCCUGAACCAGCCAAGUCGCGUGAGGGAAGACGGUCCUAUGGAUUGUAAACCUCUUUUGUCGGGGAGCAAAAGACGCCAUGCGUGGCGUUCCGAGAGUACCCGAAGAAAAAGCAUCGGCUAACUCGGUGCCAGCAGCCGCGGUAAUACGGGGGAUGCGAGCGUUAUCGGGAUUUAUUGGGUUUAAUGGGGGCGCAGGGGGAAGAUCAAGUCAAUGGUAAAAUUGAGGGGCUAAACCUCUUCGAGCAGUUGAAACUGGUGUGCUUGAGUGAGCGAGAGGUAUGCGGAAUGCGUGGUGUAGCGGUGAAAUGCGUAGAUAUCAGGAAGAACUCCGAUGGCGAAGGCGGCAUACCGGCGCUCAACUGACGCUCAUGCACGAAAGUGUGGGUAUCGAACAGGAUUAGAUACCCGUGUAGUC
rnacentral:rRNA from 1 species